UGAGAUAGCUCAGUCGGUAGAGCAUUAGACUCUUAAUCUCAGGGUUGUGCGUUUGAGUCCUACGUUGGGGGAAAAG
rnacentral:tRNA from 1 species